GGAUUUGAGGGCGAUCUGGCUGCGACAUCUGUCACCCCAUUGAUCGCCAGGGUUGAUUCGGCUGAUCUGGCUGGCUAGGCGGGUGUCCCCUUCCUCCCUCACCGCUCCAUGUGCGUCCCUCCCAAAGCUGCGCGCUCGGUGGAAGAGGACGACCAUCCCAGAUAGAAGGAGUGUACCGUUCUUCGGUCAAGGGUAUACGAUAGCUGCGCUCCCCUGCUAGAACCUCCAAACAAGCUCAAGCUGAGAAAAGAUGCAUUCCCGUUUACACUGUCCUCUCAUUAAUUUAAAAACGAGAUCAUGUCUCUAAUACAGU